UCCGCCAGCUCGACGAUGAAGAGCUAUCUUUUAAUAUUAGUCUUUACUAUAUGGCUUGGGCAAGUUAUCGGUAAUAGGAAUCGUUUUUGCACCGUAGAGAAGAAGAAGCCUAGAUGUAGCUUGAACGGCAGACCAAGUCCCAUAUUCUUUCAGUACAAUGCAACUUUGAAUACAUGUCACACUAUCAGCAAUGCCUGUUCUAACUCAAUAAGAAAGUUCGCAUCGAAACCCCUUUGCGAGGCAUUCUGUGAGCAUUCUGAUAGUGCGAAAAACUGAAAUAUGUUUAAUUUCAAAUAAAAUGGAUUAAAGGAUUA